AAUUGGACGCAACGCGAAGAACCUUACCUGGAUUUGACAUCCCGGGAAUUUUUGGAAAGAAAAAAGUGCCCUUCGGGGAACCCGGUGACAGGUGCUGCAUGGCGGUCGUCAGCUCGUGUCGUGAGAUGUUGGGUUAAGUCCCGCAACGAGCGCAACCCCUAUCUUUAGUUACCAUCAUUAAGUUGGGGACUCUAAAGAUACUGCCCCGGUUAACGGGGAGGAAGGUGGGGAUGACGUCAAGUCCUCAUGGCCUUUAUGUCCAGGGCUACACACGUGCUACAAUGGGCUGUACAAAGGGUCGCGAACUCGCAAGAGUAAGCCAAUCCCAUAAAGCAGUCCCUAGUUCGGAUUGGAGUCUGCAACUCGACUCCAUGAAGCUGGAAUCGCUAGUAAUCGUGGAUCAGCAUGCCACGGUGAAUACGUUCCCGGGCCUUGUACACACCGCCCGUCACACCAUGAGAGUUGAUUGUACCAGAAGUUGUUGGACCAACCCGCAAGGGGGGUAGGCACCUAAGGUAUGGUUGAUAAUUAGGGUGAAGUCGUAACAAGGUA
rnacentral:rRNA from 1 species